rnacentral:rRNA from 1 species
CUCCAGAGUUUGAUCCUGGCUCAGAUUGAACGCUGGCGGCAGGCCUAACACAUGCAAGUCGAGCGGUAGCACAGAGAGCUUGCUCUCGGGUGACGAGCGGCGGACGGGUGAGUAAUGUCUGGGAAACUGCCUGAUGGAGGGGGAUAACUACUGGAAACGGUAGCUAAUACCGCAUAACGUCGCAAGACCAAAGUGGGGGACCUUCGGGCCUCAUGCCAUCAGAUGUGCCCAGAUGGGAUUAGCUAGUAGGUGGGGUAACGGCUCACCUAGGCGACGAUCCCUAGCUGGUCUGAGAGGAUGACCAGCCACACUGGAACUGAGACACGGUCCAGACUCCUACGGGAGGCAGCAGUGGGGAAUAUUGCACAAUGGGCGCAAGCCUGAUGCAGCCAUGCCGCGUGUGUGAAGAAGGCCUUCGGGUUGUAAAGCACUUUCAGCGGGGAGGAAGGCGGUGAGGUUAAUAACCUCAUCGAUUGACGUUACCCGCAGAAGAAGCACCGGCUAACUCCGUGCCAGCAGCCGCGGUAAUACGGAGGGUGCAAGCGUUAAUCGGAAUUACUGGGCGUAAAGCGCACGCAGGCGGUCUGUCAAGUCGGAUGUGAAAUCCCCGGGCUCAACCUGGGAACUGCAUUCGAAACUGGCAGGCUAGAGUCUUGUAGAGGGGGGUAGAAUUCCAGGUGUAGCGGUGAAAUGCGUAGAGAUCUGGAGGAAUACCGGUGGCGAAGGCGGCCCCCUGGACAAAGACUGACGCUCAGGUGCGAAAGCGUGGGGAGCAAACAGGAUUAGAUACCCUGGUAGUCCACGCCGUAAACGAUGUCGAUUUGGAGGUUGUGCCCUUGAGGCGUGGCUUCCGGAGCUAACGCGUUAAAUCGACCGCCUGGGGAGUACGGCCGCAAGGUUAAAACUCAAAUGAAUUGACGGGGGCCCGCACAAGCGGUGGAGCAUGUGGUUUAAUUCGAUGCAACGCGAAGAACCUUACCUGGUCUUGACAUCCACAGAACUUUCCAGAGAUGGAUUGGUGCCUUCGGGAACUGUGAGACAGGUGCUGCAUGGCUGUCGUCAGCUCGUGUUGUGAAAUGUUGGGUUAAGUCCCGCAACGAGCGCAACCCUUAUCCUUUGUUGCCAGCGGUUCGGCCGGGAACUCAAAGGAGACUGCCAGUGAUAAACUGGAGGAAGGUGGGGAUGACGUCAAGUCAUCAUGGCCCUUACGACCAGGGCUACACACGUGCUACAAUGGCAUAUACAAAGAGAAGCGACCUCGCGAGAGCAAGCGGACCUCAUAAAGUAUGUCGUAGUCCGGAUUGGAGUCUGCAACUCGACUCCAUGAAGUCGGAAUCGCUAGUAAUCGUAGAUCAGAAUGCUACGGUGAAUACGUUCCCGGGCCUUGUACACACCGCCCGUCACACCAUGGGAGUGGGUUGCAAAAGAAGUAGGUAGCUUAACCUUCGGGAGGGCGCUUACCACUUUGUGAUUCAUGACUGGGGUGAAGUCGUAACAAGGUAACCGUAGGGGAACCUGCGGCUGGAACACCUCCUUCUA